CGCUGGCCGAUUCUCCUUAGGCAACCUCAGACCGCGUCGUGCGACUUCCUCCAUACCCUCAUCUUUCCGUCCGUCUAAGUCGCACACAAUCUCGCCCAGCCGGAGGAGCAGUCCAACUGAGUCACACCAGCUCGCCCAACUGAGGAGCCGACCGAUCUAAGUCGUUGCCGCCUGCUUCGAGCCAGAACCGAAGGUAGCCGCCAUUCGCAGCCGCGUGCCACUCUUUCGUCUAGCGUUGCAGACCCUCGCGUCGCUCGAUCCGUCUAGUUCCACCGCUGACCCUUCGCCACGCUGCCAGCCUAGCCGUCGUCCGCUUCUUAGUUCUACUGGUGUCCAUCGGUUUUCAUCAAUCGGCCACUACUAUGUGGGUUUUCGCCGGAAUCUAGAAUUUGAUUUGAGCUUGGAAAAUUACAGAAGUGGCUGUCCAGCGGAUUCGAGAUUGUUCGGCAAGAGUUUUGGUUCUAAGUCGUCGUCCAUUGGGACUUUGGCAGUAGUUUUUGAUCAAGUUCUUGGGGGUCGUUACUUCGAACCACUAUCAUCGUUGGUUGUCUGGUUUUAUCUAUGAAAUUUCGAUUAAGGAUUCACCAGUUUUUGUUUCCUUCGGGAUUCACCAGUUUGUGUCUCCUUCGAGAUUCACCAGAGAUAAUGGGCAUACUUAACUACAGUAGGAUAGGACUCAGUCUCCUUCUUGUUUCAUGUGUAUAUGUGUCAAAGGUGGAUGUCUAAAGGACAUAGAUUCCUAACCUAACCCCAGUAGUGGGGUUACUUACUGAGUAUUUUAUACUCAUUCUUUCUCAUGUCAUUGUUUCAGGUAAGGGUAGAGAUGCACCAGCGAUGGACAAGCGAAAUCGUAACCGAACCACUGGGACUAGUUUUUACGCUUCUGCAUCAUGCGAUUUAGAGUUCUUUUCAUGCUUCUUCUAAUGUUUAGUUUUGAUGUUUGAAACUUAUUAUUAUGAAUUUUUUUUCAUAUGUAUUUAUUAACCUUUAUGAUUUAUGGGUACCCUAUUAGUGUUUUUAACAUUUGUAUUUAAUAAAGAACUUUUAAACUCCCCUUAUCUAUUUAGCAUUUAUUUCAUCAUAAAGGAGUGUCAUUUUACGUUUCAUGCAUGCAUGUAUUUUAGUAACGGCCUAACUCAAGUCCUAGGGGGUCGGGUCAUUACACCAAUCCCAACAUCAAGGUCAUUUCUUCCUCCUCCCUCUCUUUUCUCCUUCUCCCUCCCUCCCUUUUCUCCUUCCAAUGGUGUAAGUUAUAGGUGAGAAACGGAUGUCAUGGGGUGAAAUUGUUGGGGUUGAUGC